AGCUUCAGGGUAUUCAUGGGGGCAUUUCCUCCUGAAACCAACGAUGACAACAGAAAAAGGAACAAAGCAAAUAAUGUGAGCACAAUGCAUUAGAAUUUCCAAAAUCUUUUCCAACACUCCAUCUCGUUGCAACAGAACAGUGCUGUUGGUAAAACUGGGGACAAAGAGAAGGCAUCUGUAAUUCGUGAGCUCUGGGUGUGUGCAAUCAGAUGGCAGUUAAGAAAGGCGAGGAACAGUGUAAUUUGCUGGAUUUGGCCAGGGCUGGGCUCCCAAGAGCUGGCGAUUUAACAGAUUGCAGCCCUCAUGUUUUCUGACUUGAAAGAUAAUGAAGCAAUAAAAGCGGCCGAGGCAGCCAGCGAGGAUUCUGCCCCCUGGGGAUGGCUGCGUGAGAGCAGCUGCCCGUGCGGGCACCCGCUCAGGGUGUGACCCAAGAUUGCAGCCCUCCAGCAGACCAGCAACACAGAGGACUAAAUUCCCUCCUUCGGGGACACCAGAACCUCGGCUUCCAGGGUUGUCACUGAGCCGGUGCUAUGCCAGGGCGGCCCAUAUGGUCGAGCGGUUGUCGCCAGAGACACAGAGCAUAAAUAAACCCUGGGAGUACAGAUGGGAGGCCGGCUAGGCUGGCUCCACUUCCUGGUCUCAUCACAGGGGAGUCCGUGUGGAAGCCCUGGGAGGCACCUCAGCCAUUUUCCAGGCCAACGACUGCAUUUGUCAGACGAGAAAAGCCAGAGGUUAAGGGACUUGCCAAAAGUCACACAGUGAGUCAACUGAAAAGCAGUAAGAGGUGGUGGCUAAGAGCACAGCAUGACUCCAUUGCCCUUGGCUUUGGCAAGUGACUGAAGUUCUCAGUUUCCUCAUACCAUGAGUGUGAGGUUAGUACCUGCCACAUUAGGUGCGUGGGACCCAAUCAAACGUAAAUGUGUGAGGCGCCCACUGCCAGGUUCAUAAUCACUGCUCCGUGGCUGCUGAUGGUUCUGAUGCUUAUCAUGACCGCUAGGAGCUGGAGAUAGAUCUUGAGAUCUCUUCUGCCCGGGUCAUGGGUAAACAUGAUGGAUAAAAUUAUGUGAACCAGAGUUUGAAUUUUGGCUUCUAGUUUUGUGACUCCCCCUUUCUGAGCUCUCGUUCUCAUCUGUAAAGCGGAGCAGCGACACCACUGUUCACAGGCUUGCUGCGAGGAUGGGAGGCAGCAGCGAGGGGACGGAGCCCUCCCAGCAGUAAACCGCAACUGUGACCCCCUAAUUCAAAGCUCCUCCCCUCGGCGGCAGCGAGGACAACGGCUUUCAGUUUGAAGAAUGGUGGCUGUUACACUAAGAUGGAGCCAGAGCAUCUCGGGAUGCUGUCCGACACUCCGAGGGCAGCAGAACUCUCGCUGGGUGGCUGAUGGCAGACCCAUUCUCUUGCCUCGAAUGCAGCAGACUGACCGCUUCCAGUCCUGUGCUGUCCCACUCCGCAUGAUCAGCAGUGGACGAUCACAAUGGGAAUGGCCGAAUGAACAGGAGAACAUGCAGCCUGCAGUCUCUGAUGAGGAAAUUGAGGCUCGGAGGAAUGAAGUGCAUUUCCCAAGAUGACAACACCAGUGAAGAGAGGACCAGAACCAGAACUCUUGUCCACCUGACUCUGGCUCCUGCUCAGGGAGGGCUAUAGUCUGAAUGUUUGUGUCUCCUAAAUUCAUAUGUUGAAACCUAACCCUCACUGCAAUGGCAUUAGGAGGUGGGGCCUUUGCG
ensembl:lncRNA